AUUGUGAUCGGGAAAUGGUGGUGUGAGAUGGAGCCUUGUCUAGAAGGAGAGGAGUGUAAGACGCUCCCUGAUAAUUCUGGAUGGAUGUGUGCUACAGGCAAUAAAAUCAAGACCACAAGAAUUCACCCAAGAACCUAACGGAAGCAUUUGUUACAGUAAUAAAGGAAAACCAACUUUGUGGAAAAUGCAUUUUAAAAAGUUAAAACAUCUUAUACAUUAGAAGCCAAAUGGAUUUCUUAUUUGCACUUUGACUGAUUACCAGAUAAGCACAGUGCUUUUACUGUGUAUCACUGAGUAUCCUAGAGUGAGAAGACCCGAAGUUUUGGCGGUACCAUGGAAAGUGGGUUAAGAAAAAAAAAAAUGGGUUUUCUCAAUGCAAAUUUUUUGGGAUUACGAAGAACGAUCAACUAUCUUCUCAUUUGGAUCUACAGUUACUUUGUACCACUUGAAAUACAUGUAUAUACAUAAUAUUUUGAAAUAUUAUAUAUUCUCUUCAAGAAAUGAACUGUAGCACAGUU